rnacentral:rRNA from 1 species
UUGCGUACGUUGGCAUACGGUAUUCCGGUUGAUCUAGUUGAUGACCGCUUGGCCAUGGGUGAGAGUCAAGCCAUCAUGUGUGUCAAGCGUUUCACAGUCGAAAUUGUGCAAGUGUUUGGUCCGGAGUAUUUGAGAUCUCCCAAUGCUGAAGACGUCGCAAGGCUUUUGGAGAUGAACAAAGCUCGUGGGUUUCCAUAUAUGCUUGGCUUAAAAGAUUGCAUGCAUUAG